rnacentral:lncRNA from 1 species
CACACACACACUCAGGGAGAAGAAAGUGAAUGGAUAAGAUCUCUCAGGCUGCACACUCCCAGUAAUUAAUAACAGGCAAGCGCCUUCCGUCAAGGGCUUGCUGAGAUGUGGGGCGGUGGAUGAGGGCUGUGUGUAAGCAGCAUGGAUUGCCAGCCAGCAAAGGACGCAGACAGAGCCUGCACCCACCAGGCCUCAGAGCCCUGAGAGCAAGUAAGGACAAGACACAGACCCAUGGAGCGUGGCACUAAUUCCGGGGAUGUGGACUUGCUCCAUUGACAGGGUAUGAUGACAGCUUUGGUGCUGCCACAGAAGUAUGUUCACUAUUCAGCUUGCCAAGUGAAGAACCAAAGAUGCAAGAGCAUGAAGUUCUAAGAGCAUAGCUGGGCCAAGGGAUCAGGAGUGCUGCCUGGAUUGUGCUGACUACUUCUUGAACACCCUCUCACCCAGCCUUGCUGCAGCCUUACCUGCAAACCCACCUGUGGUGGAAUGGGAGGGGCUGUUCUUAUCCUCAUCUGAUAGAUGAGAAGACUGUGACUCAGAGAGGUGAAUGACUUGGCCAAAGUCUAGCAACCAACGUUUUUCAGAGUGCUGUCCUGCUCUGAUGCUGACACUCUUAGUCUCUCACCCCCUAGAUUUCCCAAGCAGGAGGGCCACUCAAUUUCUGCAUCAACCAAAUGCAAGGAACACACUUGAAGGCUCUCCAAGUGGUCCUGCUGAAGUCCCCAUCACUUCUCGUGAGUUGAGAAAAACUUAGCACUGGAACAGUUCGCUAAAGAACUCUCUUAACAAAGCCUACCCACACUCAUUUAGAAGUGGUCGAGGAGACUGAACUGAGACAAAUAACAGCCUGGGCUCUUAGUGUCAACUUGCCUGGUUUCAAACGCUUGUGCCAGAUAAUCUUGGAAAUGGACCAGAUGACACCUCAACCAAACUAAUAUUCUCCAAUCGAUGAACUCAUAAGCUCAUAAAACAACGUGGAAAGAGAAGGAGGAGGUCAGAGAAGACGGCAUGAAUGAGCAAAGAGGCUGCCAUUCCUCAAAGAUAUUCCUAGAAUCCAGAAGGGCUGCUGGCUCUGAGAAGUUCAAGAGAUGACUGCCAGAUCACAGACCCAUGACUGUAGUCUCACAGCAAAUCCGAAAGCAAAUUCCUACAACCAGUGCUGGUAAUGUUUCCCAAAAUUUCAGUAUGUGAUCUUAAAG